UAUGGUGUGUGCCCGCCGCCGCGGUAAUACGUAGGCGGCAAGCGUUGUCCGGAAUUAUUGGGCGUAAAGGGAGCGCAGGCGGGAAACUAAGCGGAUCUUAAAAGUGCGGGGCUCAACCCCGUGAUGGGGUCCGAACUGGUUUUCUUGAGUGCAGGAGAGGAAAGCGGAAUUCCCAGUGUAGCGGUGAAAUGCGUAGAUAUUGGGAAGAACACCAGUGGCGAAGGCGGCUUUCUGGACUGUAACUGACGCUGAGGCUCGAAAGCUAGGGUAGCGAACGGG
rnacentral:rRNA from 1 species